rnacentral:lncRNA from 1 species
CGGGAGGAGCUAGAGUCUGAUUAUUAGCAGAAUGGUGGUUGAAUUGCAGCAUCCUCUCAGCUUCAAUCUGAAAUUCACCAAGCAAGAAGAGGAAGUCGGUUCAGACAUCAUCACCAGCGAGUCUCCUCACUAUUAUUGCCUCUCAAGUAUUCUCUGUAUGUACGCGUGUUUGAACCUUGAAGGACUAUUUACAUAACUUCAUUUCUUCUACCUGCUUUUCUUCCGUCACCCUUUUUUCUCGUUGCUGGUGUAAUGUUAGCAUUAUUCUUCUUGUUGUACGGUAUCCAUGGUUGCUGAUGUUAUAUAUGCAUGUCCUUCAAAGAUUAUUCUAAAUAUACUAUUGCUUCUAUUAACAAAAGACACCCACAAGAGAAAACCAUAGAGACAAUCUUAGUGCUAGUCUCUUUUUAUGUUGUUGGUCAUUUUCUUUGUUUCUUUCUGCUUUUCCUGGUAAACAGUUACAUAUAUAGCUUGUGCAUCCAAACUAUAUUAUUUCAUUUGUGCAUCCAAUCCACCAAACAGUUAAGGUUUGAUGAUUACUUCCCUUACAUAUUUAAUUUGCAGAUUCUCCAGUGUUAUUUCCAUUGUUAGCAUAAAUUCCUGGCCUCUAUUAUACUUAAUGUCCCAUUCGGUCCACUGGAAUAGGGCUGUGACAUUGGAAAUUUCUGGUAUUUUUGGACAAAUUUUCAGGGACUCUUGGACUCAAUCUAUUCGAUGGAUUAAUUCUUCUAUUUCCAUGAAUCAUUUGGCUCUAGCAAACUCAAACUCCCUGUCUAGUGUGUUCUGGGUGCUAACUACAAUUUAGUGUUAAUAGAGAGUUGAUACCAACCAAGUGGAUGGUCCAGGAAGUAGCUUUCACCCAAAAAUGGUGCAGGUUGGUGUGCCAAAGAAACUACUUUCAACGAAGAUCACUUACAAUGAAUAAGGUAAGAGCCUGGAUGUUGAUUUGGUUUUUGGGUCCUAUUGAGUUCAAGGGGUUUUAUUUUUUAUCUUAGGCCUAGUUGCAUGUUGAGUGAGCCCAACACCAAGUCAUAUAAGGGUGCUUGGACUGGAUUUUGAGUUCAAAAGCAUGUAUGGAAAAUUGGACACCUUUUUCUAUGUUUAGUUAAGCAGAGUUUGUUGUUGGGUCUGUUAUCCUUUGAUAUGAAAGGGGGAAAAAGAAACCAAGAAAGAAUAGUAAAAGAAAAGAAGUAGAGGAGGAAAAAGAAGUGAAAAAAGGAAACAGCUGUUUUUCUCCUUUGCUCCCCCUUUCUCAUUUACUAAUUCUUUGUCAGAACAUUCACAAAUUGAUCCUUGAUUUUCGCAAAUGGAGUUCAAAUCUAAGAAGAGUAGAAUUUUUCUUCGGUAAAUUGUUGAUCUACCUUGAUAUGGCUAAUGCUGUAACUGUGAAGAGCAUGAACUAUACUAAGUAGGGCUUCAUUGUCAUUAUCUCAACUCAUAGGUUGCUUGCCUUCAACAUCAGUUCUUUGAGAAGGAUCUCCAACCAAGAAAAUUCAUAAACACCAUGACCCAUUACUCUAAACUUCAACUGCUUCCUACUUUGUCCAGUUACAAGAUAACACUUAACAAAGUCCAUAUGCCAAUAUGGAUUUUCUACCAACAACAGAACUUGUAUAAUGCAUAUUUAUAAAGGCCUAUAAUAUAGUACUUUGUGAGUAACUCAGCUUCCCAUAAACAACCUCUAGAUGGUGAGAAAGUAGGGAAAUCCAUACAUUGAAUGAUAACAUGCAAGGCAUAAGCAAAUCCCUUGACUAGUGAGAGACAUAGAUCAAUAUUUUCACAAGUCUCUGAUAAAGUCGUGAAUCUGUAGAGGAUUUCUGCCUUGAUCAACUUAAUCUGCAAUUCAUCUUAAUUGGAGUAUUUGAUGGACUGCAUCCUAGUAUCCCCAUUUCUUUCAGCAAUGGUAACUUAUUCCCUCUGAUCAGAAAAACUACUUUUCUCAUAUCAAGCAAUCUCAAUUCCAGAAGAUAUCUUAGGUGCCGACUUAAAACAUUUUUCCUUAGGUAUUCGUUUCACAAGGAAAUCUCAGUUGCAGCGGUAUAUUCCUCCCCACCUUUUUGCUUGACAGAGCAUUAUGUAUGGCCUAUUGUCUGUCUCAAUUGAAGCUUUAACAAACCUCUCAAAUAAUCCUCUUGGAAACUAUUUCAGGUCAUAGAAGUCUUUUUCCAAGUGGCAUAUGGUCUUCUCUCUUCCUGAAGCUUUGAAUCCUAGAGGUUCUCAUAUACUUUUUUGGAAAGAUCACCAUGCAAGGACACAUUCCGUACAGAGGCCAAUCAAGUUAAGUCACCAAUUAUAGAAAAACAUGCUCAGCAAUUCAUUUUGGUAAAUGGAGCAAAGCUCACACAAUAGUCUAUUGUCAUAAGUUUAUAUAAACCCUUAGGCUACCAGUUUAACUUGAUAUUCAUUACUAUUCUAGCCCUGCGUUUCACUAGAAACACCAAUUUGCACACCACAGGCUUUUAUUUGGUAGAGUAAACAACUUCCAAGUUCCAAUAUCCUUCAGGGCUGUCAUCUCUUUAGACAUUGCCUCCCGCCAAAUAGGUAAAUUAGGCUUUUGAGGCACUUUAAGGAAUGGAAACAAAAAAGACAUCAAACCAGAACAGCAACAAAUCUAGUAAAUAAAAAAUCACAGGACACAAAGUUAAUAAGGUAAUGAAUACACAUAAUACAUCUUUUUCUAUGAGCAACAAAAGAUGGAAUUGAAGACUCUUCUUUGAAAAGGAAAAAAGAAAGAGGUAACAUCCUAAACAAAUGUAAAGUCCAUCCUAAUAAAAGGCUGUCUACAGGAAGGAUGAUAGUAGUAGUAUCCUUUUGGUAGAAGAGUAUCCCAAUAGACAAAGAAAAAUAAGGGAUGAUUAGGACAAAAGAGACAAAGUUUGGCAAUUGUAACUCAUGGGAUACAAGUUGAAUAUGAAGAGAAAUAGGACACGACAUACUUUCAAGGCAACAUGAGAAGGAACAUUUACGGUAAAUUAAAAGGAGCAAGUAACUAUGUGGAAAUAAAAAAUUUUCCCCUUCAUAGCUCCAUUUUAUUCAUAGUUGACAUGAUAUUGUUGAUGAAUUAUGGAAUGGUCAGAGCGGUAGAGAGGAGAAAAACCUUGAUAGAUGUUUGAAUCUCAUGAUCAAAUUGAAUUGGACAGCAGUAAUAUUACAAGAGGUAGAAGCCAAUUGAAUGGCAACAAUCUAAUGCUGCAUAAGAGCUCAGACAUUGAUAAAUGUGUUCAAUUCUUGAAUCAGAUUCAGUUGCGGCUGGAACAAUGUUAUGAAACAUACACAGUAGUUUGAUAUGUUGAAAGGAAAGCCUAGGUAACCUGAGGUUAGUUAUUCACAAAUGUUACAAGAGAGCCAUAUCUUAACAAGAUACUAACAGGGGAAGCCCUCCCCAAAUGGGUGUUAGUGUCAACAACAUUAAAAGCAGUACUUCUAUUACCAUACAGAUGCAAAACUUUACAAAAUUUUGACAAACUCAAAAGGUUCAUUCUAAAACUUAGCAAUGGGAUUGAAUUUACUAAAUUUUGGAAAUAAAAGGAAGCAGUAUAGCAAAUAAGGAUGCCAAAAAGAUGAUGUCACUUUAUUAGUUCAAAAUCUUAACUAGAAUUAUAAGAAUUAAAAGUGAAGAAAAUUGACGGUUGGUGCAUCCAAGGUGAAAAUGUCAUGAUCCUUGUGACCAGUCCUAUUCAUCUUCCCUGUUAACAAAUCUUGAAACACAAAAUGGGAGGAGGAAAAGCUGCCAUUGCACAUUUUUACCAAGAAUGGAACAUGAAGAAUAUAUCGUGAGUAUAAGGAGGGGGAGGAUUGACACUGCCUUACUGAAAAUAGAAAAAGGGGAACCGUUUACAAUGAUGUGAUAUAAACAAAUGAACAAAAAGAGAAAGAAAGGACAUGCAUGAUAAGAAGUUUCUUAAUCAAUGAUUCAACCAAUGGGCUAGACAAUUGAGGGAUAAAGGAACUAAGAAUAGAGUAUUGAGGAAUAGAAGAGCUAGUUGUAGAGAAUUGUGGAAUAAAAAUGCUAAGAAUAGAGGAUUGAGGAAUAAAAGAACUAAAAGCAGACGUUGCAAUACAUGAUUAUGCAAAUGAACAAUUAAAAAGCCAUAUUAUAGUGGAGUGUUAUACUGUUGGAAGUUCUUCACCUUUGAAAUAAGCAAACUAACCUGCAGACCAGAAGAAAUUGGUCAAGAAGAGAAGAAAUUAUGAGCGACAUUGUGAGAUGAAUAUCAAAAUCUCUACAGGUUAUCAAAUUAUUCCCUCAACUGUUUGAGUCUUGGAAAUACAUGGACAAAGACUUUUCGCAAUUAGUUCCCUAGGAUGAAUACCAAAAUGCUUGAAUAUUGUCAAAGUAUUGCUCCAACCAGUUAUGGUUUGAGAACUAGAGAACUUCUUACUUUGUUUACACUGAUCAAUACUUUGGCAAAGCUCAUGGAGAGUCACACUCCUUAUUUAGGAAUAGGUUUAGGACACAACAUCUUAUAUCUCAUUAUCAGUCUUUAUAGACAUAAGUACACCAACCUUUCGUUGCCUGGAGAAAAAUAACCAUAAAAUCACUAUUAAGUAUUCUACUCUCCAUAUCUCAAAAGUAAUGUUAUUUGAGUGAGGUUCUUCAAGUUGCACAUUCAAUAACCAAAAUUCCCAUUUCUAUAAGAGGUACAAGUGCUGGUUUAUCUAAAGUCAAGUAAAUUAUCCUGUAUAAUUCUAUUGUAGACAGCUAAACAUUUGAAAUCAUUUGAACCAACCACAUAUCCUUACUCAGAGAAUAGUUUGAUUGGUAGCAGUUCCCAAGUCACUACCACUAAACAUAUUGCCCUAAAAGCACAUAUGCUGGUUUAUCUGAAUUCAAGUAACUUAUCCUAUAUAAUUCUAUUGUAGACAACUAAACAUUUGGAAUCGUUUGAACCAAUCAUAUAUUCUUGUAAUUGGUAGAAGUUCCCAAGGCACUACCACUAAACAUAUUGUCUCAAGAAUCACAAUGGAGAGAACUAAUCACUAGAGCCACUUAAGAAAUUAAAAAUAAUAAAUAAUAAUAACAAUAAAAGUCACACACUACAAUGGGCUUACACAAGCAUCACAAAGGUCACUAGAAAGGGAAAAAUGAACUGAUGCAUUGACAUGGGAAGCCCUCAUUUUACACAAAACACACACACUAAUCACAAAAAAAAAAUAAUAAUAAUAAUAAUAAAAAAAAAAAAAUUGAGCACCAUGCAAACAAAAUACUCCCUCAAGUGCCAAGGGUACUAAAGAGAGAAAUCUUGCACUUAGAUGACAUAAAAAAUUUUCUUCAUUUUUUUAUCCCAUUAAAAAAUGUUCUAAUAUUAGUGCAGAGUUAUUGACUAAAUUGGAAGUCAAAUCAAAGAAUAGUAACUAUUUUUUUCGCUCAUAAACCAUACGAAAAAAGGGAAACUCUACUUAGAUCUUUCAAGAAAAUUCCCAAAAUCCAAAUUUCAAUGGCUUAAAAUCAGAACAAUCAAAGUUAGGUUUGGGAUCCCUAUUGAUCGUAUGAUGGCUUCAAAUGAGAUAACAACCUCUAAAUCCUACAAAGCAAACCCUAUAUUCUUGAGAAAAACAUAGGAUAUCUCAAUUGAGAAGGAGAGAAAAAGGAAAAUACAAGGUGACCUAACAUAAAUGAAGCCCCAUCUAUGCUAACCCAAGAUGCAUCCUCCUCUCCAAACUUAGAAAGGUGUGUUUUGCUGGACUUGAUUUUGCAGUUGUGUCCGUAUGAAAGAUGUCUGAAAUCUCGCCUAACUCUUAUCACUAAUUACAUUUCAUGAUUCUAGUUCAAUAUAGUAAGUCAUAGAUCCUUGAUGCCAAGUGAUUUGUUAAAAAUAAAAAAGGCGUAGGAUCAGAAUAUUGAAAAAAAGGUUGGACCAAAAAAGAAAGAAAGAAAUGGAAGGGUGUUUUUCUUCAAUGGGAGAAUUAGUAAAGCCCUUUGAAAAUCCAAUACUAAUGAUUUGUAUGGCUUGUGGCAAAUAAGAAAGUCAAUAGUAAAAAUUUGCUUCAAGUAAGCAAGGUCUUCUGAAACGUUUGGUCUAGAGUGGUGUGUCAUGUGCAAGGGGAAGUACGGAAUUAGUUGUUCAUGUGUUUUCAAAUUGCCUCACAACCUUGGCUUAGUGAUAUAGAGGGUUUGAGCAAUUCCAACUCUCUAGUCAACUUCGCAAAUAGUUACGAGAUGUGGCAUUCAACUGAAUGAGAAACAACAUGCCAUACAACAUCCAAUUUGCACUUCCAACAAUCAAAUAUAGUGGCAGUGAUGACAUUUAGAAAUUCUAACAAUGAUGCAUCAUCUUGAACCAUGAUGCAUCAUACAAAUCACAACAUAUUGAUUGUGAUGACAUAAGUUUUUUUUAGAAGGAAUUGAUUACCAUCUCAACAUUUGUGUUCCAACCUCUUUAUAUAUGUAUGAUAAAUUGUUCCCCUAUAACAGGAGGUUUUGAUUGUGAUAUAACCAUGAAGGACUUUGCAACUGGGAAUUCAAACUAUGAAACUUUCUUGUCUAAAAUAUUGACAAUGGUCAUUCUUUGCAAUUUAAACUUUAUGAGUCUUUGAUCAUGCGUAAUGAAUUUAGUGAUGUUAGGAUUUUCAAGUAAUUCCUAAAUCUUGUGUGAAUUUCACGAAUCUUUACAAUGUCUUUGUUUCUUAAGGAGUCAUAGUCCCCUCUAAAUCCUAAUGGCAAUGUAAUCUCUACCUCUACCUAGGUGAUUUACUAGUGAAACCUGUGAUAUUGUGAUGACAAUGUUUUCAUUAAAAUGCAUCAAAAGUUAUAUGUUACAGAAAAAAAAAAAAAAAAAAAAAAGCAUGUACCCUUUCAUGUAGGGCUGAUAUGGAUUCCAUCAUCAAUUCUGUUUGUAAAGGCAAGAAAUUAAAUUCAUAAGGUACAAAGCAUCCGAAUCAGUAAUGUGUAUAUGAUUACACAAAAUAACAUUUUUAAUUUUAUGACUAGAUCAUAGCAUUUAUUUGUUAUUAAUGCUACUACCUUAGUAAUUAAAGGCGUGGUCAACACAUAGUUUAGUUUAUUUUUAAUUUUCAUUAAGAAUCAUGAAGAUUCAAAUAGGAGUUAAAGCUCAUUACAAAAAUCUCCUCAACGAUUUUACAUCAACACAUAGUUUAGUUUAUUUUUAGUUUUCAUUAAGAAUCACAAUGAUUCCAAAAAUAGAAGUUAAAACCCAUUCCAAAAACCUCCUCAAUGGUUUUAUAUUAACAAGAAAAAUAAGAGAAUGAUGAUUUCUCAUUGAACAAAAUAAUUGGUACACAACAAUAUAUAUAUAUUGUUCCAGGAAAAAAACUAAUUUAGAAAAGUCAAACCUAUAAAUCCCAUGAUUGAAGGGAUUAUUUUCCUAACUAAAUAUAUACACACUGAUUUUUCAAUUAGGUUAUAACAACUGUACAAUUCAACAUAUAUCAACACAUAGUUUAGUUUCUUUUUAAUUUUCAUUAAGAACGACAAAGAUUCAAAAAUAGGAGUUAAAACCUAUUCCAAAAAUCGCCUCCAUGGUUUAACAACAAGAUAACAAGUAUGAGUGGAUGGACUCCAAGGAGGGAUGGUUUUUUCCCUAAAAAAAACUAGGAGGAAGAGAGAAACCCAAAGUUAGUAUUCCUUAUGAAAGCUAGGUCAUAGACCAUAACAUGUUGCAGAUGGAGUUAACGAGACAUUUUCGAGCAUAGUAGGUUUGGUUUCUUCAUGAAUAAUUCAGUUGCUCUCAACUCAUGUAUUCUCUCUUAAAUUGUUUCAUAUAUUUUUGAGUGCUUAAGCCAAAUCUUAAAUUUAACAUAAUAGUUGGAUAAACCCUAGUUUUUAUAAAUAGGUAUAUAAGGUUUGACUUCUUGAGCUCUCAUUCUCUUUCCAAUUUGUAAGUUUUAUAUGGGUCAAUUUUAAAAUUCUCGACUCAUUUCUCUUCACCAUACUUGAGGUAUUGUUCCUAUAAAUCUGUGUUAGUUUGCUUUAUGCUUUAAUCGUAAAAAACUUACAAUUUUUUUAAAAAUAUUUUAAACAUUUCUAUAUUAAAAAUUGUAAAUGGCCAAGGAUUAAGAUGUUGAAACGAUGUUAGAAUGGUAUAUCAACCAAGCUCACGAGCAAGUCGAGGGAGGAAGGAAUAGGUUGUGGGGGGUAUAGGGAGGGGGGAGGGGGUGCUGAAUGGACCUUAAUAGGACAUUCUCCUAAGUGACAACUUUAAGGAGAUCCACUAAGUUAUUGAAAAGUACACAAAACAAACACUAAAUAUCAAAUUUUUAUUCCCAUAUAAAUUUUAGGGGGAAAAAACUAUUUGAUGUUAGUAAUAAUAUUUAGUUAAGUAAUUAAUUUUAAAAACUUGAGAACAAUAAUAGUAGUAACAUGUGUGAACCCUCAAGGAAGUAUUAGGAAUGUAAGAGCUAGAAGUUAUUAUUGUUUGGGUUUGAUAAUCAAAAUCCAUAAUACGUUGCAUGGGUUGCACAUGUAAACACAUCCAUAGUGGACAAUUUUUCUUUCUUGGGCUUCCCAGGGUUAGAGGUGGUUAAGAAAUUCAGUGCUUAGAUUCGUUAAAUUAUUGACCCAUCUCACGAUUUUGGGUGUUACUUUUGUUGGAAAUGGAGGUAUAUGAAGUGGGGUAUGAAACUGCAUAGCUAGGCUAAGAGCUAGAUUGGAAGAGUUUUCUAUUGGAUUUUUUGCACUUCCUCCCAAGCUUCUUCUAACUUUGGGUUCUUUUGUUAAGCCUUUUAGGAGCGUCUCUUCUAUGGUUUUCUAGCUUUUCUUUUAUAAUGCUUGAGCAAAUAACUCAUCUUUCCUAGAGAUUUCCCUUUCUUUUAAGACAACAAGGCAAUAUAAUCUCUACCAAGUAUCUUUAGUUUGAGAAGUAAUGAGAAUUGUGUGGUCCAAGAAUAUUGAGCGAACUUUGUUAUAUUUCAAAGGACCCUAUAAAAUAUUAAGUCCUUGUAUUUAUUAAAUUUAACACGCAGUCUUAACACUUGAAAUCAAAAUCACGGGCUUUGACAUAUAAUAGGAUUAUGGGAUUUGAGAAGUUCAAAUCACAAAAUUUUGAAUUCUGUGAGAUUUCAACUCCCUUGAAUUAUUAAAUUUCUACUCUUCAAAAGUUAGGAUUUUGAUAUUGCAAUUUGCACAAAUUAAGAUCAGCUAUGUUAUUUGGGAUAGUUUGGUGAAGUAGAAGGUUUCCCGUUGCACGUAGGUUAUGUUCAAGUAAUUCAAGUGCAAAAAAGAAUCAAAGCCAACUUAAUUAUUUUAGUUCAACCUAAAGAUCAAUUCACCAAUUUGUUUGCAUUUAAAAAUAUAUUUGAAUUAUUAUCAUGAUAUAGAAAUAAAAGAUAAAAUCAAAGCAUAACUAAAAUUAAUAAACACUAAUUCUUAAGUGGAUUGGAUUUGGAUUAGUAGGAUUGGAUUUUGUUCAACUAAGAUCAUCCUUUGGGUAAUUAAUGGAGGAAAUACAUUGAGGUAGGACAAGAGUAGACACAUCCAACUUUAAAAUUGUUGAGAAAGCAAUUUUUUUUUCUUUAUUCAAAAGUAAGAUUUUGGGAAUUUUGUGGUUCUUGUUUAGAAAGUCAAAUAUUUUUCUACUCUUAUUGUUGGAAGAUUUUGUGGAUCUUGUGUAUCUUUUAGCAUUCACUUUUUUGUUAGGUUUGGAUUGUAUAUCAUUUCAGUUUCAUUUUCUUGUAUCACAACUGUAUAUAUAUGCUAUAAUUUUUUUUUCUUGAAUAAAUCAAACAAAAUUAAUUCCAAUUUUCCUCAUAUCAUAGUAAUUUAAGGUUCUAGACUUUUUUUUUUGGUUGGCCUUCAUUGUCAAUGGUUUCAACCAGCGUUCAUUGUUGGUGUAUUUCCUCUUAAUCUAUCCAAAUGUCUAAGGUAACAUCUAAAUAUUAUGAUUGAUCAGUAGGGCAAUCAUCUAGCCCUUAUGAAAAUCCUACACAUAUGCUAAACAACUAGAACUUCCUACAAUGGUCGUAGUGCGUGAAUUUUUUUGUGGAAAACUAUGGUUUUUAGUCAUUGCAUUCCUAACAAAAUGAUAUAUAGUAUUUAUAGUAUAUAAUAGAAAACUAAAUUUCAUAAAAUUAGGAAGUUGUUUAAUUCCUUGAAAUCCUCUACUUUACAAAUAAAACAAGAAAUGUAUAGCUAUACAAUCUCGAAAUUAGGGAAUUAAUUCCCUAGUAUUUUCAAUCAAUCUAGAAAAAGGGGGAGUUAAUUUUUUGGUAUCUUCAAUCAAAUUCGUCAACACUCCCCCUCAAGAUGAUGAGUAGAUAUUAUCUAUUUCCUAUUUUGCUACUUUUCUAAAAUGAGUAAUUGGGUAGGUCCUUUGUUAGGAUAUCAACAAGUUGCCCAUCUAAAGGAUUUGAAGGAGUAUAGAUUAGUCCAGUUUCUCUUUGAUAAAGUGUCAACCCACUUCAACAUCUUUUGUACGACCAUAUUGGACUAGGUUAUAAACAGUAUCCUAGAUCAUCAAUAAAUAUUUUCAACCAAAGUAGUUCACAGAUUCUUUAUGCUAUGAUUUUGAACUUUGCUUUUGCACUAAACCUAACAACUACAACUUGUUACUUCUUUAUCUCAUCAAAUUUCCUCCAAAAACAGUACAAUACCCAAUGGUUGAUCUGUGGUCUAUUACUAAUUCAUACCAAUUUGCAUCAGUGUAAGCUUCCAAACUUAAAUUUCAUUUCUCUUGAUGAGCAUUUCCUUAUUUGUAGUAGAUUUUAGGUAUCACAAAAUUCUAUGUCCAACCUAUAAGUGAUGCCUUUUUAGGGGAGUGCAUGAACUAGCUUACUACACUCACCACAUAGGCUAUAUUAUCUCUUGUGAUAAAUAAAUGAGCCUCCCAACUACCCUUAGGUAACUCCUCCUGUCUAUGGCUACAUUUUCUUAUGCUUCUCCAAGCUUAUAAGUUUAUUCAAUAGGUGUGUCAACAAGCCUGCAUUUGAGCAUCCCAAUUCUUUAAGAAGAUGGAAAAUAUACCUUUAUUGGGGGGGGGGGGGGGGGGAAAUCAUUUCUUGAAAGAAUCCCUUCAAUUCCCCAGCAAAAUUUGUACUUACCCGUCUUUUAUCUCCAAUUUUAUGGGGAACCCUUUUUUAAUUUUCUUCAAAAUUAUCCCCCUUCCAAAUUUUAUCCUCUACAUAAAAAAUNNNNNNNNNNNNNNNNNNNNNNNNNNNNNNNNNNNNNNNNNNNNNNNNNNNNNNNNNNNNNNNNNNNNNNNNNNNNNNNNNNNNNNNNNNNNNNNNNNNNUUGUGAAAAAUAAAUGAGCUUCCCAACUACCCUUAGGUAACUCUUCCUGUUUAGGGCUACAUUUUUUUAUGUUUUUCCAAGCUUUUAAGUUUUUUCAAUAGGGGGGUCAACAACCCUGCAUUUGGGCUUCCCAUUUUUUUAAGAAGAGGGAAAAUAUCCCUUUUUUGGGGGGGGGGGGGGGGGGAUAUCAUUUCUUGAAUGAGUCACUUCAAUUCCCAAGCAAUAUUUGUACUUACCAGUCUUUUAUCUCGAAUUUUAUGGCGAACCUUUUUUUAAUUUUCUUCAAAAUUAUCCUCUUUCAAAAUUAUAUCAUCUACAUAAAUAAUUAAGGUUAUGAUUUUAUCAAUUAUUGGUCAUUUAAUAAAGCAAGUACGAUCCCUUAUUUAAUAAAGAGAGACUGAUCCCCUUAGCUUUAUCAGAACUUCCAAUUAAGCUGUAAUACCUAGCACUAAUGAAUUAAAUAGGCAAUAAUGAUUAUCUUAGUACUUAACUUUAAACGUGCUUAAUUAGAUGUUAAAACUAGUUUAGUGCUUAUCUUAUUUAAUUAUGAAUUAAACUUUGAUUAAGGUUAAGUGGGAUUAGUUAAUGACUUAAACAUGCUUAUUAUGUUCUUUGGGGCAGAUUAGAGUUAUGAAAACCUAAAGGGCUAAUGGGUAGUUGUAGGUUUAAUAUUGGUUAACUAGGAGGACUAAAUUGCAAUAUUGGGAAAGUUGGGGUUGGUGGCAGCCAUGUGGCCUGCCAUCACCUACUUGGCUACAUGAGGACCUCUUUAUAAGGGCUUGCAGCCACGUUUUGGAGCAUUGUCCCUACAAUAGCCUGGAUUAGAGAGAGAAUCUAGAGAGAGAAAGUAAAGAUUUGAGUUCCUUGUAAUAGGUAAAGAUCACCUAUAUAAAAGAAUCACAAAAGGGAAGUCAAUGUAAGACAAAAUGCCUAGAGCAAGGAACAGAUUAACAGCAAGGCCUAGACCAUCAAUGAGAUCAUCUCCACUAUCUCAUGGUAAUGGACUUGAGGGAAGGACUACAAUAUACCCAGCUGCUGGUUUAGAAUACCAGAAUGUGAGCUUAAUUCGAGAAUUAAAAGCACUGACUCCUCUAAUCUUUCGAGGUGUGAUAGCUUGACAAUCCUGUCACAAAGUCCAUGGUCACAUGAUCCCAUUUCCAUUUUGCUAUAGGUAGUGGUUGUAACAACCCUACUGGCUUCUGAUGUUCAACUUUCACUUGUUGACAUGUUAAACACUUGGAACGAAUUGAGCUAUAUACCGCUUCAUACCUUGCCACCAAUAUUGACGCCUCAAAUCAUGGUAUAUUUUAGUUUCUCCAAGGUUUAUUGUGAACUGAGAAUGAUGAGCUUCCUUCAUUACCUCCUCCUUCACCCGAGCAUCAUUAGGAACACAAAGUUUAUUCAAGAAAUAAAUCCCACUAAUAGAAUGUAUACUUCAACCUUCCACUGCGUCACCUGCCAUAAUUUGAGAGUGCAUGCCCUCUAACUUUGUAUCUUUCUUUUGAGCUUCAAUAACUUUAUGCAAUGUUGUUGGUUGAGUUACCAAAGUACAAAAAGAUGCACCAGAAUCACGUACAUCAAAACAAGGAUUGAACUCAUUGAUGUAAUCAUACAUUUUCCACUCAGAAACCACCAACCCAAAUAACACACAUUGAGCUUUUCUACUUAGGGCAUCAACAACCACAUUGGCUUUUCCUGGAUGAUACAACAAUGUAAAGUUAAAAUCUUCAAGGGUUUCCAUCCAUCUCAUUUGCCUUGCAUUCAGAUCUUUUUGAGAGAAAAAUGUACUUCAAACUUUUGUGAUCAGAAAACACCUCAAAAUUUUCACCAUAUAAGUAAUGUCUCCAUAACUUUAAAGCAAAGACUAUGGCUACUAGUUCGAGAUCAUGUGUAGGAUAGUUAUGCUCAUGGUUCUUCAAUUGUUUAGAAGAAUAAGCAACCACUCUUCCUCUUAGCAUCAAAACACAUCCCAAGCCAUUUCUUAAAGCAUCAUAAUAAAUUGUAUAUCUUUCCCCACUAAUAGGAGUAAUUAGCAUUGUUAGUCUUCUUUUUAGCUCUUGAAAAUAUUCUUCACACUUGUCAUUCCAAUCAAAGUUCACUCCCUCGCGUGUCAGUCUAGUCAUUGGGCAUGCAAUUCGAGAAAAUUUUUCAACAAACCUUCUGUAGUACCCAGCUAAUCCAAGAAAACUAUGUACUUCAAAAACAUUCUUGGGUAUUUCCCACUUUGUCACAACUUCCACUUUUGUUGGAUCCACUGAGAUACCCUCUUUAGAAACCAUGUGCCCCAAAAAUUGAAUUUCCUGUAUCCAAAAGUCACAUUUCUCCAAUUUGGCAUAUAACUGGUGUUCUCUAAGUGUUUGAAUUGCCAAAUGCAAAUGAUGACCAUGCUCUUCUAAACUCUUAGAAUAUAUCAAAAUAUCAUCCACAAAUACCACCACAAAAUGAUCCAAGUAAGGUCGAUAAAUACGAUUCAUCAUGUCCAUGAUGCAGUCGAAGCAUUGGUUAAUCCAAAUGGCAUGACAAGAAACUCGUAAUGUCCAUACCUUGUAUGAAAUGCAAUAUUUGGAAUAUCUGAUUCUCGUAUCCUUAACUGAUGAUAACCAGAUUUUAAAUCAAUCUUAGGAAAAUAGCAAGCCCCACAUAACUGGUCAAAUAAGUCAUCAAUCCGAGGUUAUGGAUAUUUGUUUUUUACUGUUACUUUAUUCAAUUUUCUUUAAUCCACACAUAAUAGCAAGAAUCCAUCCUUCUUCUUCACAAACAAUACUAGAGCGCCCCAAAGUGAGGUACUAGGCCGAAUAAACCCUUUACUUUGCAACUCUUGCAACUGAAGGUUCAAUUCUUUAAGUUCAACUGGAGCCAUCCUGUAUGGAGCUAUUGAUAUUGGAUCUGUACCUGGAUACAAUUCUAUGGAAAAAUCCAUCUCUCUAUGAGGAGGUAAACAUGGAAAUUCUUUAGUAAAAACAUCAGCAAAUUCACAAACCAUUGGAAUACAAUCUAUUGUUGUCUUCUUUUUGCCUUCUCCCUGCAUAUUAAAAAGAAAAUAUUGUCUGCCAUCCUUUCUUGACCACUUGUCAUCUAGGUUUCGAAUUAGUGGAAUAAUUGUAAGCCUUUUGUCACCAUAGAAACUCAAAUAUGAACCAGAAGAGGUUUGAAAUGUUACUUUCUUCAAAUAACAGUCUAAUACAACAUGAUGUCGGGCUAGCCAAUCCAUCCCCACAAUUACAUCAAAUGAUGAAAUAUUAAGAAGAACUAGAUCCAUUAUAACUUCAACACCCCCAAUAUAUAGUACAGAAGCAUGACACACCCACUUGGUUUCCACCUUACCACCCAUAGGAGUCAACACAUAAUGAACAAUGAAGGGGAACAAAUUCUAUGUCUAGUAAGGAGGCAAAUGAUGCAGAAGUAAAAGAGUGGGUAGCUCUCGAAUAAAAUAAAACAUGUGCCCAAGUGCUAAAACAUAAGAUCAUAUCUUCCACUAAGGCAUUUGAUUCUACAUUUUGUGACCCCAAUGCAUAAAAUCUCUCUUGUUGUCCUUGCUCUGGCGUCCAUCCAGGCUUUCCUUGUCUAAAGUUUCCUUCCCCUUGAGGUUGCCUUCCUUGCAUUCGUGAGUUCAUCUGUUGAAAAUGCCGUUAAGAUGGCUAGUAUGCAAGUCUUUGAAAUUUUGGGCACUCCCUCCUAAGAUGUCCCACCUCACCACAUUCAUAACAUCUCCUUGUUCCCUUGGCCCAAUCUGUAGUCCCACUAUAUUGCUCUUGUUUUAUGGCUUGUUGUUGGGGAUGAGUCACUUUCUGGUGCUUGAAAUCUCGUUCUCGUUUUUCUGAACCACCAAACCUUCCGCUUCUCAAUCUUUGAGCUUCCUCCAUUUCCUUUUCUAUAAUAAGAGCCCUUGCCACAACCUCACUGUAAGUAUGGAGCAUGAAGGGAGCGACCUAUGCCCUAAUGUUCAAUCUCAACUCUUCUUGGAAUUGAGUAGCUUGCAUUUUGUUCAUCUGCCACCACAUUCGGAGCAUAUCUAGAUAGUUGUGUAAACUUUGAUGCAUAUUCAGUCAUUGUCAUGUUCCUUUGAACCAAGUGUAUAAACUUUAAGCAAUAAAAAUUCUAGGUUUGGUAGUUCAGAAAAACGGGAACAAGGUUUCAAGAGCCAGAAAGUGACUCAUCCCCAACAACCACCCGUAAAACAAGAGCAAUAUAGUGGAACUACAGAUUGGGUCAAGGGAACAAGGAGAUGUUAUGAAUGUGGUGAGGUGGGACAUCUUAGAAGGGAGUGCCCAAAAUUUCAACGACUUGCAUACCAGCCAUCUCAAUGACAGUUUCAGUAGAUGAACUCACGAAUGUAAGGAAGACAACCUCAAGGGGAAGGAAACUCUAGACGAGGAAAGCCUGGAGGAAAGCCAGAGUAAGGACAAUAAGAGAGAUUUUAUGCAUUGGGGUCACAAAAUGUAGAAUCAAAUGCCUUAGUGGAAGGUAUGAUCUUAUGUUUUAGCACUUGGGCACAUGUUUUAUUUGAUUCGGGAGCUACCCACUUUUUUAUUUCUGCAUCAUUUGCCUCCUUGCUAGAUGUAGAAUUUGUUCCCCUUCAUUUUUCAUUAUGUGUUGAGACUCCUAUGGGUGGUAAGGUGGAAACCAAGUGGGUGUGUCAUGCUUGUGUACUUUAUAUUAGGGGUCCUGAAGUUACAAUGGCUAUGGUUCUUCUUGAUAUUUCAUCAUUUGAUGUAAUUGUGGGGAUAGAUUGGCUAGCCCGACAUCAUGCUGUAUUAGACUGUUAUUUGAAGAAAGUAACAUUUCAAACCUCUUCUGGCUCAUAUUUGAGUUUCUAUGAUGAUAGAAGGCUUACAAUUAUUCCACUAAUUCGAAACCUAUAUGACAAGUGGUCAAGAAAGGAUGUCAGACAAUAUUUUCUUUUUAAUAUGCAAGGAGAAGGCAAAAAGAAAACAAUAGAUUGUAUUCCAAUGGUUUGUGAAUUUGCUGAUGUUUUCCCUAAAGAUUUCCAUGUUUACUUCCUCACAAAGAGAUGGAUUUUUCUAUAGAAUUGUAUCCAGGUACAGAUCCAAUAUCAAUAGCUCCAUACAGGAUGGAUCCAGUUGAACUUAAAGAAUUGAACAUUUAGUUGCAAGAGUUGCAAAGUACAGGGUUUAUUAGGCCUAGUACCUUACCUUAGGGCACUCUAGUAUUGUUUGUGAAGAAGAAGGAUGGAUCCUUGCGGUUAUGCGUGGAUUACAGAAAAUUGAACAGAGUAACAGUGAAAAAAAAUAUCCAUUACCUCGAAUUGAUGACUUAUUUGACUAGUUAUGUGGGGCUUGCUAUUUUUCUAAGAUUGAUUUAAGAUCUGGUUAUCAUCAGUUGAGGAUACAAGAAUCAGAUAUUCCAAAGACUGCAUUUCAUACAAGGUAUGGACAUUACGAGUUUGUUGUCAUGCCAUUUGGAUUAACCAAUGCUUCAGUUGCAUUCAUGGACAUGAUGAAUCGUAUUUAUCAACCUUACUUGGAUCAUUUUUUGGUGGUUUUUGUGGAUGAUAUUUUGAUAUAUUCUAAGAGUCAAGAAGAGCAUGGUCAUCAUUUGCAUUUGGCACUUCAAACACUUAGAGAACACCAGUUAUAUGCCAAAUUGGAGAAAUGUAACUUUUGGAUGUAGGAAAUUCAAUUUUUGGGGCACAUGGUUUCUAAAGAGGGUAUCUCAGUGGAUCCAACAAAAGUGGAAGUUGUGACAAAGUGGGAAAGACCCAAGAAUGUUUUUGAAGCACAUAGUUUUCUUGGAUUAGCUGGGUACUAUAGAAGGUUUGUUGAAAACUUUUCUUGAAUUGCAUGCCCAAUGACUAGACUGACACGCAAGGGAGUGAACUUUAAUUGGAAUGACAAGUGUGAAGAAUCUUUUCAAGAGCUAAAAAGGAGACUAACAACAACGCCUGCGCUAAUUACUCCUAUUAGUAGGGAAAUAUAUACAGUUUAUUGUGAUGCUUCAAGAAAUGGCUUGGGAUGUGUUUUGAUGCAAAGAGGAAGAGUGGUUGCUUAUGCAUCUAGGUAAUUGAAAAACCAUGAGCAGAACUAUCCUACACAUGAUCUUGAACUGGUAGCCAUAGUCUUUGCUUUAAAUUUAUGAAGACAUUACUUAUAUGGUGAAAAUUUUAAGGUGUUUUCUUAUCACAAAAGUUUGAAGUACAUUUUCUCUCAAAAAGAUCUGAAUGCAAGGCAAAGGAAAUGGAUGGAAACCCUUGAAGAUUUUAACUUUACAUUGCAGUAGCAUCUAGGUUGUUGAUCCCCUAAGUAGAAAAACUCAAUGUGUGUUAUCUGGGUUGGUGGUUUUUGAGUGGAAAAUGUAUGAUUACAUUAGUGAGUUCAAUCCUUUUUUGAUGUACGUGAUUCUGGUGCAUGUUUUUGUACUUUAGUAGCUCAGCUAACAAUAUCGCAUAAGGUUAUUGAAGCUCAAAAGAAAGAUACAAAGUUAAGAGGGCAUGCGCUCUCAAAUUAUGGCAGGUGACGUAUUGGAAGGUUGGAGCAUACAUUCUAAUGGUAGCAUUUAUUUCUUGAAUAAACUUUGUGUUCCUAAUGAUGCUCAGGUAAAGGAGGAGGUAAUGAAGGAAGCUCAUCAUUCUCGGUUCACAGUACACCCUGGAGAAACUAAAAUGUACCAUGAUUUGAGGCAUCAAUAUUGGUGGCAACGUAUGAAGUGGGAUAUAGCUCAAUUCGUUUCCAAGUGUUUAAUAUGUCAACAAGUGAAAGUUGAACAUCAGAAGCUAGCAGGGUUGUUACAACCACUGCCUAUAGUAGAAUGGAAGUGGGAUCAUGUGACCAUGGACUUUGUGACAGGAUUGCCAAGUUGUCACACCCCGAAAGAUUAGAGGAGUUAGUGCUUUAAAUUCUCGAAUUAAGCUCACAUUCUGGUAUUCUGAACCAGCAAUUGGGUAUAUUGCAAUCCUUCCCUCAGUUCCAUUACCAUGAGAUAGUGGAGAUGAUCUAGUUGAUUGUCUGGGCCUUGUUGUUAAUCUGUUCCUUGCUUUAGGCAUUUUGUCUUGCACUGACUUCCCUUUUGUGAUUCUUCUAUGUAGGCGAUCAUUACCUAUUACAAGGUACUCAAAUCUUCACUUUCUUUCUAUAGAUUUUCUCUCUAACCUAGGUUAUUGCACGAACAAUGCUCCAAAACAUGGCUGUAGGCCCUUAUAAAGGGGUCUCCAUGCAGCCAAGUAGGAGGUAGUAGGCCACAUGGCUGCCACCAACCCUAACUUUCCCAAUAUUGCAAUUCAGUCCUCCUUGUUAACCAAUGUUAAACCUACAACUACCCAUUAGUCCUUUAGGUUUUCAUAACUCUAAUCAGCCCCUAAGAACCUAAUAAGCAUGCUUAAGUCAUUAACUAAUCCCACUUAACCUUAAUCAAAGUUUAAUUCAUAAUUAAACAAGAUUAGCAUUAAAUUAAUUUUAACAUCUAAUUAAGCACGUUUAAAGUUAAGUACUAAGAUAAUCAUUAUUGCCUAUUUAAUUCAUUAGUGCUAGGUAUUACAUGAGCCCUCAUUUUUUAAUAGGUUUAACCUAAGCCUAAGGGUAAGACCAAAACUCAAGCCCAUAAAAGUCUAAACCCAUUAAUACACAUUGAAUAUUCAAAGCUUACAAAAUCCAUUAAUACACAUUGAAUAUUUGAAGCUUACAUCUCGAUAAAGUGAGAUUUAAACCUCUUAAACCUCAAGUACUCUAUGUUAAGGCUAUAGCCAUAAGGUAACUCAUAGCAUAUUUUAGUAAGAAGGGAGGCCUCAAGCAUAUUUUUAGUAAGUUGAAUACUUCAAAGAUGGAUUACUUAACAUAUGUUAAGGAGUUCUAUGCAUUGGUGCAAACUUUGAGGCAUUGGCAACAUUAGCUCAUCCAAGAAGACUUUGUUUUAUAAUUUGAGUCCUCAAAUAUUUACAUGGAUGAUGAUGGUUCGAUAGAGAUGUGGAAUUAGUUCCUUCAAUAAAACAUUAAACUUCUAUGAUUCAACAUCAGUAAGGUGAUUCAGGUCAGAAAAACAAACUUGUGCAUGCCCUUAGAGGGAAGGCAAUGUCAUUGUCUAUACUUUAUGCACAAUUGCUAGGAUUUGAGACUUAUAAACUUUGGACCAGAAUUUGUACCAUUUGGACCGUUAUUUUGACCAUAUUCAAAAAGGGUGUUGACAUGAAAUAUGCAAGAUUUUCCUGCUGCUUGGUUUUUUGUUCAAAGGACUAGGUUCAUUAUUCGUGUGUGUUUGAUUGCCUUCUCAAGGAGAAAAUUUGAUUUCAGAUCCAUAACGAGGGACACCUUGAUUGUUGCAAGAUUUAUGAUUUGGUUGCGACUAAUUAUUAUUGGCCUUCUUUGGAUAGGGGUGUGUAUCGACUUGUUGAAAGAUGUUAUUCUUGUCAGGUUGCAAAAGGUUCAACUCUAGUGUAGGCCCUUUUCCACCUUGACUAGUGCCAAAUGCUCCACAAACAAAUGUGAGCAUGGAUUUGGUAUUUAGAUUGCCACAUAUAUAUGGGGCAUAGAUCUUGUAAUGGUAAUGGUGCAAUGUUUUUCUAAGCAGGCUUGUUCAAUAUAGGGAUCAUGAACAGUACCUUUUUGGAGAAUAUUAGUUAAUUCUAGAAUCCAUUUCAUCAUCUAAUAGCGACAACCGUAUUUUUGUGUAGAAUGACUAAGGAUACAACCUAGAUUGCCAAUUUACACUUUUCAUCUUCAUGGAAUUCUAAAAUAUAAUCUUUAUAUGGAGAUGCCAAGUUAGUUAUUCACUUUUAAGAUUUAAAUUAUAGUACAAUUUACCAUCCUGAAACACUGAAACAGAUAACAAACAGAAAUCUGGCGAAACAGUUGACUUUUCUUACUCAGUUCAGUUUUCUUUCUAUAGGUUAAAGAGUUGCACUACAUAACUUAGUCCUUUUAUAGCAAAUUAAUUAUAUUUGAAAUCCUAAUUGCAUUUUGGAUAUAGCACCAUUUCUACUUGAAGGGAGAGUUAGUUUGAAGGUCAAGGACAUGAUUGAUGACACCUAUGCUAUUCAGGAGGACUGAAGAAGUUCAUUGAGGUUAUUAAUAGAAAAUCUUGUGGCUUCUUGGAAAUUAACUGGUGAGUAAGAUGAGAGUUGAUUAGUAAUAAAACCCUUGUGUCAUAAAGCUGAACAUGUUGGGGUUUUAAAUAGAUACAUUUUGAGGUGCAAUUUUAUUUUAUAGUGAAGGACAGUAGUGGUUUAUAGGUAAGAGGUCCCCCCCUUGUCAGUGUCAUUAGUCUUAUUCAUAUCUAGUCACCAUGCAUUGCCCAUUACAAAUUAAGAGGCAAACAUUUUCUUACAUUAGAUAAGGGAGUACCAUGGAAUGGUUAAGGUAGUGGAAUCUGAGUUAUUACCAAUGGUGUUCAACUAUUUAUAAAAGCACAGCUGGUGGUUUGGUCUGUUUUGGGUUGGCUUUAUAAUGUGGGUGAUGUCAAAGGUGAUCUUUAUGUAAACCCUUCCAAUCCUUGGAACAAAAAGAACAAAAGGUGAGUUAUAAUUUGUACAUAUUUUGUAAGGUGAUAUUAAUUGAUGAAUUUUUCUAGUAACCUGUCAAGAGCUGGUGCUACUAAUCAAUGAAUUCUUCUUGCAACCUUCCAGCAUUAUAAGCCUUAUUUAUUUAUUUUUAUUUUCAUUAUUAUUUUUGUGAGGGAUUGGUGUCUGAGUUCUGAGUGACUGUGGUAGGUGAAAUGUUCAUCAAGGAAUAUGGAGAUUUAAGAUUAUAUCCCACAAUUUUAAUAUCCAAUUAAAAUUGAGUUCACAACUUAACUUGCUCUUCUUCAUCUAGAACUUUUCCAGUUCUCCAUUGAUCUGUUUAACAUGCAAAACAUGCUUUACUCAAAUUUAUCCCAAAUUUAGUUCCAUCUUUGGUGAUACAAUUGAUAUGGAGUUCUAGAGGAAAUAAAAUGAUGCUGAAUUUGUCAUUUAGAACUGAACAGUUCCAAGUUCACAUUGUGUAAUGUGCAUAAGCUGACCUUUCUUAUCCUUGUUCAUCUCAGUGUUGCAUCUAGUUCUUGCUCGAGUUGCACAAGGUCUGUAACAUUCAUCAGAUCGAUAUUUUGUCCUUCAACAUACCUGCAACCAUGCAACAUAAAUAUCAGUCCUUACCUUUCACAGAAAUCAUUUUGAAUUUGAGCCCUCAAACAAAUUAUCUCAAUCUCAGGAACACAUAACAGGCACUGAUAUUAUUACCCCUGCAUCAAUUGUAGUAUGUCACAGCAUUUGCCUGGAGUUGUACGUGCUGGAUGAUGCUUCUGUCAAAUCACAGAAACGUACUGGUCUGUAGAUUGGAAAUUGAAUAUAUUGGCCAAGAAAAUCUAUGCAUCACCUUAAGAAAAUUAGUACUGGUUCCCCACUAGAAAUGUUGUGCUUCAGAGCUUAUUUUUUAUUUUUGAAUCUGGUAUAUGCUUCUUCUAUAUGUACUAUCUAGAAAAUUUCCUCACUUGUUCCAACUAGAUCUUAAUAUUGGAUCUUUC